UAUCUCUGUAGAGUCUGCAUAUCAAUAAGCGGAGGAAAAGAAACUAACUAGGAUUCCCUCAGUAACGGCGAGUGAAGCGGGAAGAGCUCAAAUUUGAAAUCUUCAAGGUUCUACCUUGACGAAUUGUAGUUUAAAGAAGUGUUUUCUGUUGGAGUUUUGGUAAAAGUUCUUUGGAAUAGGACAUCAUAGAGGGUGAGAAUCCCGUAUUUGACCAUUAUUUCCAGCUUUGUGAUACACUUUCAAAGAGUCGGAUUGUUUGGGAAUGCAGUCCAAAAUGGGUGGUAAAUUUCAUCUAAAGCUAAAUACUUGGCGAGAGACCGAUAGCGAACAAGUACCGUGAGGGAAAGAUGAAAAGAACUUUGAAAAGAGAGUUAAACAGUACGUGAAAUUGUCAAAAGGGAAGCGUUUGACACCAGUGUUGUUUUCUCGAAAAUCAAUUAAAAAAGGCAGGAUUUUGUGUUGUAUUGACUUUAUCAGCUUUCUGCACUCUUUUCUUGUCUUUUUUAAUGCACUUUUCGUUUAACAAGUCAACAUCAAUUUCUUUUGUUGUAAAAGGGUCAUUGGAAGGUGGCUUUCUUUUCGGAGAAAGUGUUUAUAGCCUUUGGCCUCUGCAAUCGGAGAGAUUGAGGUCUGCAGCGUAGAUCCUUCGGGGUUAGAAUACAUUUGUGCUAAGUUAUAGCCUUUCAUAGACAACUUGUUGACUAUGAUCAGUCAUGUAGCUUACUCGCUUAUGCUAUUUUACCUACGCUUAGGAUGUUGACGAUCAGCUGAGCGCG
rnacentral:rRNA from 1 species